GACGGAGGGGGGCUAGCGUUGUUCGGAAUUACUGGGCGUAAAGGGCUCGUAGGCGGCCAACUAAGUCGGACGUGAAAUCCCUCGGCUUAACCGGGGAACUGCGUCCGAUACUGGAUGGCUUGAGUUUGGGAGAGGGAUGCGGAAUUCCAGGUGUAGCGGUGAAAUGCGUAGAUAUCUGGAGGAACACCGGUGGCGAAGGCGGCAUCCUGGACCAACACUGACGCUGAGGAGCGAAAGCCAGGGGAGCAAACGGG
rnacentral:rRNA from 1 species